UUAGUUUAUUUUUUUUUUAAUAAAUUAAUUAUUUUAAUUUUAUUUAUAUUUAAAAUUGUAUUUAUAAAAUUUAAUUAUAAAUUUAAAAUUAAUAUUUUCUUUUAUUUUUAUAAUUUAUUAUAUUUAUUUAGAUCUAAUUUUAUCUUUAUUUACUCUAUUAUAGUCGUAUGUGUAUUUAAUUUUACUAAGUACUAUUAAGGAAUAAAAAAUAAAAAUUUUUUAUAUUUUGAAUUUGUUUAUUAAUUUAUUUUUUUUCAUUUAUUUUAAUUUUUAAGUUAAAUCUUUAAUAACAUUGUUUUUAUCUUUGUAUGAUAUAUUUUUAUAAAAAAGUUGUAAAAAUUAAUUUUUUUUAAUAUUUAGUUUA
rnacentral:rRNA from 1 species